rnacentral:rRNA from 1 species
AUAUUGGACAAUGGGGUCAACCCUGAUCCAGCCAUGCCGCGUGUGUGAAGAAGGUCUUCGGCUUGUAGAGCACUUUAAGUUGGGAGGAAGGGCUUUAGGCUAAUACCCUGACGCUUUGACGUUACUAACAGUAUAAGAACCGGCUAACUCUGUUCCAGCAGCCGCGGUAAUACAGAGGGUGCAAGCGUUAAUCGGAAUUACUGGGCGUAAAGCGCGCGUAGGUGGUUCAGUAAGAUAGGUGUGAAAUCCCCGGGCUUAACCUGGGAACUGCUUUCAUAACUGCUGGGAUAGAGUACGGUAGAGGGUAGUGGAAUUUCCUGUGUGGCGGUGAAAAGCGUAGAUAUAGGAAGGAACACCAGUGGCGAAGGCGACUACCUGGACUGAUACUGACACUGAGGUGCGAAAGCGUGGGGAGCAAACAG